UACGUAGGGCGCGAGCGUUGUCCGGAAUUAUUGGGCGUAAAGAGCUCGUAGGCGGCCUGUCGCGUCCGCUGUGAAAACCCGGGGCUCAACCCCGGGCUUGCAGUGGAUACGGGCAGGCUAGAGGCAGGCAGGGGAGAACGGAAUUCCCGGUGUAGCGGUGAAAUGCGCAGAUAUCGGGAGGAACACCGGUGGCGAAGGCGGUUCUCUGGGCCUGUACUGACGCUGAGGAGCGAAGGCGUGGGGAGCGAACAGG
rnacentral:rRNA from 1 species